rnacentral:rRNA from 1 species
CGCGUAGGCGGAUUGGAAAGUUGGGGUGAAAUCCCGGGGCUCAACCCCGGAACUGCCUCCAAAACUAUCAGUCUAGAGUUCGAGAGAGGUGAGUGGAAUUCCAAGUGUAGAGGUGAAAUUCGUAGAUAUUUGGAGGAACACCAGUGGCGAAGGCGGCUCACUGGCUCGAUACUGACGCUGAGGUGCGAAAGUGUGGGGAGCAAACA